rfam:Tupaia chinensis contig173168, whole genome shotgun sequence.
UAAAAGGCUCUUUUCAGAGCCACCUACCGUGUCACCAAGAGAGUUG